AUACGGAGGGUGCAAGCGUUAAUCGGAAUUACUGGGCGUAAAGCGCGCGUAGGCGGCUGAUUAAGUCGGAUGUGAAAUCCCUGGGCUCAACCUAGGAACUGCAUCCGAUACUGGUCAGCUAGAGUUUUGGAGAGGUAAGUGGAAUUUCCGGUGUAGCGGUGAAAUGCAUAGAGAUCGGAAGGAACACCAGUGGCGAAGGCGACUUACUGGCCAAAAACUGACGCUGAGGUGCGAAAGCGUGGGUAGCGAACAGGAUUAGAUACCCUAGUAGUCC
rnacentral:rRNA from 1 species